rnacentral:rRNA from 1 species
AGUGGCGGACGGGUGAGUAACGCGUGAGAAUCUGCCUUGGGGUCGGGGACAACCACUGGAAACGGUGGCUAAUACCGGAUAAGCCGAUUGGUGAAAGAUUUAUUGCCCGAAGAGGAGCUCGCGUCUGAUUAGCUAGUUGGUGAGGUAGGAGCUCACCAAGGCAGCGAUCAGUAGCUGGUCUGAGAGGACGAUCAGCCACACUGGGACUGAGACACGGCCCAGACUCCUACGGGAGGCAGCAGUGGGGAAUUUUCCGCAAUGGGCGAAAGCCUGACGGAGCAAGACCGCGUGAGGGAGGAAGGCUCUUGGGUUGUAAACCUCUUUUCUCAGGGAAGAAGCUCUGACGGUACCUGAGGAAUCAGCCUCGGCUAACUCCGUGCCAGCAGCCGCGGUAAUACGGAGGAGGCAAGCGUUAUCCGGAAUUAUUGGGCGUAAAGCGUCCGCAGGUGGCGAUUCAAGUCUGCUGUCAAAGCACGGGGCUUAACUCCGUAAAGGCAGUGGAAACUGAAUAGCUAGAGUGCCGUAGGGGUAGAGGGAAUUCCCGGUGUAGCGGUGAAAUGCGUAGAGAUCGGGAAGAACAUCGGUGGCGAAAGCGCUCUAUUGGACGGCAACUGACACUCAGGGACGAAAGCUAGGGGAGCGAAUGGGAUUAGAUACCCC